rnacentral:rRNA from 1 species
UGGGGGAUAUUGCGCAAUGGGGGAAACCCUGACGCAGCAACGCCGCGUGAAGGAAGAAGGCCUUCGGGUUGUAAACUUUUGUCUUUAGGGAAGAGUAGAAGACGGUACCUAAGGAGGAAGCCACGGCUAACUACGUGCCAGCAGCCGCGGUAAUACGUAGGUGGCGAGCGUUGUCCGGAUUUAUUGGGUGUAAAGGGCGUGUAGGCGGGACUUUAAGUCAGAUGUGAAAUACCGAGGCUCAACCUCGGGGCUGCAUUUGAAACUGAAGUUCUUGAGUGCAGGAGAGGAUAGUGGAAUUCCUAGUGUAGCGGUGAAAUGCGUAGAUAUUAGGAGGAACACCAGUGGCGAAGGCGACUAUCUGGACUGUAACUGACGCUGAGGCGCGAAAGUGUGGGGAGCAAACA